GCGCCGUGUUUGGAAAUUUUAAAAUUGUUCCUGCGUUCGCUCAAAUUGUAUAAAUUUCAAGAUUUUGAUAGAGUCUUAAUUUGAAUUGACAUGAUUCAUUUGUCAUCGUGCAAUUACCGAGGAAGGAUAUCUGUUAUCCGAAAUAUCUAACAUAUUGUUCGUUUUAUUGUGUUUUUGGUGAUGUUGUACCCUUUUAGACUUGUUAUAUAUUACAUUUUGUAGUGUACUGAAUCAUGUUUAUAUGAUCCAUCGCCC
rnacentral:lncRNA from 1 species